rnacentral:rRNA from 1 species
GAUGAACGCUGGCGGCGUGCCUAAUACAUGCAAGUCGAGCGAACAGACGAGGAGCUUGCUCCUCUGACGUUAGCGGCGGACGGGUGAGUAACACGUGGAUAACCUACCUAUAAGACUGGGAUAACUUCGGGAAACCGGAGCUAAUACCGGAUAAUAUAUUGAACCGCAUGGUUCAAUAGUGAAAGACGGUUUUGCUGUCACUUAUAGAUGGAUCCGCGCCGCAUUAGCUAGUUGGUAAGGUAACGGCUUACCAAGGCAACGAUGCGUAGCCGACCUGAGAGGGUGAUCGGCCACACUGGAACUGGGACACGGUCCAGACUCCUACGGGAGGCAGCAGUAGGGAAUCUUCCGCAAUGGGCGAAGGCCUGACGGAGCAACGCCGCGUGAGUGAUGAAGGUCUUCGGAUCGUAAAACUCUGUUAUUAGGGAAGAACAAAUGUGUAAGUAACUAUGCACGUCUUGACGGUACCUAAUCAGAAAGCCACGGCUAACUACGUG